rnacentral:rRNA from 1 species
GACGAACGCUGGCGGCGUGCCUAAUACAUGCAAGUCGAACGCAGUGGGGACGGGUGAGUAACACGUGGGUAACCUCCCAUCAGAGGGGAUAACACUUGGAAACAGGUGCUAAACCGAUAUUGAUGGAUGGACCCGCGGUGCAUUAGCUAGUUGGUGAGGUAACGGCUCAACAAGGCCACGAUGCAUAGCCGACCUGAGAGGGUGAUCGGCCACACUGGGACUGAGACACGGCCCAGACUCCUACGGGAGGCAGCAGGGGGGAAUAUUGCACAAUGUGCGCAAGCCUGAUGCAGCCAUGCCGCGUGUGUGAAGGAGGCCUUCGGGUUGUAAAGCACGUUCAGCGGGGGGGCGUUACCCGCAGAAGAAGCACCGGCUAACUCCGUGCCAGCAGCCGCGGUAAUUC